AUCGCCUUUCUGAAUGAAGAGCCCUCUUCACUGCCCCACCCUCACCUUAGAAUUCUCUCCUCUUUCCAAAGAAUGGCAGUUGAACCUCACUGGCCCCUGUGGGGAGGCUGGGGACUACUCCUGCAUUCCCCCCCCCCCGCCCCCAUUACAGUCUCCCUGCUUCACCUUCACCAGGCGACUUUACUUACCUACCCCUGGGAAAAGAGGAGAUAAUGACCUUAAUAUGUCCAAAAGUCACACCCUGACUACCCAAGAAUUAGCUCUUACCAUCACCCUUUCUCUUCUCUCACUUUCCUAGGGGGUGCUGGGUGGUGUCUCCUUGGGGGAAAGAAAUGACUAGGUUGGGGGAAAAGGAAUAUUUGUAACCAUAUUCCCAUCUCUGCUUUCCCAACCUCUCCAAGUGAGACUGAGGGUGUGCCCAGUACUGCCAUCCGAGAGAUCUCUCUGCUUAAGGAGCUUAACCAUCCUAAUAUUGUCAAGCUGCUGGAUGUCAUUCACACAGAAAAUAAACUCUACCUGGUUUUUGAAUUUCUGCACCAAGAUCUCAAGAAAUUCAUGGAUGCCUCUGCUCUCACUGGCAUUCCUCUUCCCCUCAUCAAGAGCUAUCUGUUCCAGCUGCUCCAGGGCCUAGCUUUCUGCCAUUCUCAUCGGGUCCUCCACCGAGACCUUAAACCUCAGAAUCUGCUUAUUAACACAGAGGGGGCCAUCAAGCUAGCAGACUUUGGACUAGCCAGAGCUUUUGGAGUCCCUGUUCGUACUUACACCCAUGAGGUGGUGACCCUGUGGUACCGAGCUCCUGAAAUCCUCCUGGGCUGCAAAUAUUACUCCACAGCUGUGGACAUCUGGAGCCUGGGCUGCAUCUUUGCUGAGAUGGUGACUCGCCGGGCCCUAUUCCCUGGAGAUUCUGAGAUUGACCA
rnacentral:sRNA from 1 species